UGCCUUAGUAGCGGCGAGUGAAGCGGCAAAAGCUCAAAUUUGAAAUCUGGCUCUUUCAGAGUCCGAGUUGUAAUUUGAAGAAGGUAUCUUUGGGUCUGGCUCUUGUCUAUGUUUCUUGGAACAGAACGUCACAGAGGGUGAGAAUCCCGUGCGAUGAGAUGAUCCAGGCCUAUGUAAAGUUCCUUCGAAGAGUCGAGUUGUUUGGGAAUGCAGCUCUAAGUGGGUGGUAAAUUCCAUCUAAAGCUAAAUAUUGGCGAGAGACCGAUAGCGAACAAGUACAGUGAUGGAAAGAUGAAAAGAACUUUGAAAAGAGAGUGAAAAAGUACGUGAAAUUGUUGAAAGGGAAGGGCUUGAGAUCAGACUUGGUAUUUUGUAUGUUACUUCUUCGGGGGUGGCCUCUACAGUUUAUCGGGCCAGCAUCAGUUUGGGCGGUAGGAGAAUUGCGUUGGAAUGUGGCACGGCUUCGGUUGUGUGUUAUAGCCUUCGUCGAUACUGCCAGCCUAGACUGAGGACUGCGGUUUAUACCUAGGAUGUUGGCAUAAUGAUCUUAAGUCGCCCG
rnacentral:rRNA from 1 species